AGAGCGAACGCUGGCGGCAGGCUUAACACAUGCAAGUCGAGCGGGCGUAGCAAUACGUCAGCGGCAGACGGGUGAGUAACGCGUGGGAACAUACCUUUUGGUUCGGAACAACCCAGGGAAACUUGGGCUAAUACCGGAUAAGCCCUUACGGGGAAAGAUUUAUCGCCGAAAGAUUGGCCCGCGUCUGAUUAGCUAGUUGGUGAGGUAACGGCUCACCAAGGCGACGAUCAGUAGCUGGUCUGAGAGGAUGAUCAGCCACAUUGGGACUGAGACACGGCCCAAACUCCUACGGGAGGCAGCAGUGGGGAAUAUUGGACAAUGGGCGCAAGCCUGAUCCAGCCAUGCCGCGUGAGUGAUGAAGGCCCUAGGGUUGUAAAGCUCUUUGUGCGGGAAGAUAAUGACGGUACCGCAAGAAUAACGCCCCGGCUAACUUCGCGCCAGCAGCCGC
rnacentral:rRNA from 1 species